UACAGGGGGUGCAAACGUUGCUCGGAAUCAUUGGGCGUAAAGCGCACGUAGGCGGUUCGUUAUGUCGGAUGUGAAAGCCCUUGGCUUAACCGAGGAAGUGCAUCCGAAACUGGCGAGCUAGAGUACGAAAGAGGAUCGCGGAAUUCCCGGUGUAGAGGUGAAAUUCGUAGAUAUCGGGAGGAACACCGGUGGCGAAGGCGGCGAUCUGGGUCGAUACUGACGCUGAGGUGCGAAAGCGUGUGGAGCAAACAGG
rnacentral:rRNA from 1 species